rnacentral:snoRNA from 1 species
AUUCCAUGAUGCGGACAAUUUUUGAUCAUCAUGUUUAAGCGGUCAAAUGCUUCAUGAAACAUUUCGCCUUGUUGUUGUUGGAAACUUCUCAACCCUUUCCUCGCAU